ACGACCAUUAUGCUGAUUCGUUGAGGUGCGUAUUUAAUGAUGCUUCGCUUAUCAACGUUGCUUACGUAGACGAGUUUAUUCAUCGUGAUGGUGACGGUUUAAAGCGAUUAUGAGUUCAUUUGAAAUCAUUUCACGGCUUUUAUUUAAUCGAAAACAACUCAAACAAAAGAACCAUCUUCUAAAAUGUUUUGGAGGAUUUUUUUAUUGGAGGGAGAGGCCACUAAAUUACUCCAUUCAUAAAGAGCAAUGACCCAUCCUUAUUAGGAAAGAUGAUUCUUCCAGUUCAGAGCAACCUGAAUCUUUACAGCUUUUCCUCUACCUGUAACUGCUGACCACUCAUGUAAAACAGGGGGAGUGAAUCAUACUGGAGGACUGGAUUUCAGCCAUUGAAGGCCACUGAGCAGGGGACUCUACUUAAGGGUAGAGCAACAGAGGACGCAUGUCUCUCCAUUUUGCACCGAAACCUGUAAGAGAAACUGUUAAAAAAUAAAAAACUGAUCUGUCAAGA